rnacentral:rRNA from 1 species
CCUACGGGUGGCAGCAGUGAGGAAUAUUGGACAAUGGGCGCGAGCCUGAACGAGCCAAGUAGCGUGAAGGAUGACUGCCCUAGGGGUGGUAAACUUCUUUUAUAAAGGAGUAAAGUGAGGCACGUGUGCCAUUUUGUAUGUACGUUAUGAAUAAGGAUCGGCUAACUCCGUUCCAGCAGCCGAGGUAAUAAGGAGGAUCCGAGCGUUGUUCGGAUUUAUUGGGUUUAAAGGGAGCGUAGAUGGGUUGGUAAGUCCGUUGGGAAAGUUUGGGGCUCAACCCUAAAAUUGCAAUUGAUACUGGCAGUCUUGAGGACAGUUGAGGUAGGCGGAAUUCGUGGUGUAGCGGUGAAAUGCUUAGAUAUCACGAAGAACUCCGAUUGCGAAGGCAGCUUACUGACCUGCCACUGACAUUGAUGCUCGAAAGUGUGGGUAUCAAACAGGAUUAGAUACCCGAGUAGUC